rnacentral:lncRNA from 13 species
AUGUAUGUAAAAUUUCCGUUUUGUCAGUUUCACCGGAUUCAUCCCCAUCAUGCAGAAACAGAAGUUUCCAGCAGAUGGCGCCAGAGGCCGUCUUUUCUCCGCCUCCCCGCGCGCUCCUCGCCGUUUCCGGAUCAGCACGUUCUCUCGAGAAAACGACAUUUCUCUGUCCGCGCCAGGCGCGCGCCGCAGCGGAAAACCCCAGCAAGACGCCUGGCAAGCAGCACAGCCCCACGGGUUGCAGCCCUGGGCGUAAGACCAGCCGCCAGGAAUCCCGGCUUCCAAAUAGUUGAUGGGUUUCGCGCCAGCUCCGCUUUGAAGCAGCGGCCCUGCAGGACCGGGGGUCAGGCUCGUCCCUCCCACGGACCCCCGUGGAAGCAGCUGCCCAGACGUCUUGAGAAGAGUGUCUAUAUUCACCUACAAGUAAUCAUGAAAGCACUUCCCCCACCAGAUCAUGUCUUACCCUUGCAAGCUUUCCAGCUGUCUUGUUCCAUGUACAACACCAACUCACUAUUGCAGAGUCAGGAAGGAUCCCGACCAAGAUGCAACCUCCACAGCAGCUCAGAGUUCAAUAAAAUGCCAUUACUCGAGCAGCACUUACUGGAGCGGAACAGAACCGGCUGCCCACUGGCCCUUGGCCUCGCUGCCCUCACUGGAAGGACCAGAGUCCAGAGCCUGGCUGCAUAUUCAAGGACACCAGCCAGACAGUUCAGCAUCAGCAGGGGGUUGCAGCUCAUAAGGUCAUCGGGCCCAGGGCCCACUGCUGUGGUCGUGGAAUCAGCUGCGAUGUCAUCCCAGGCUGGGCCUGAAAUAUGAAGAUUACUUAAAACUCAUACUAUGCCAGAACAUGGACAUCACAACAAAUUGGGUAAUGAGUGUCAACUCAAAGACUAUUUAAGAUUAAUUGUUGCACAAGAAAACCUGAAAUGCCCUGGAAGCUUAUGGACCAUAAAUGAAAGAAAAGUUCAGCACAACGUCCUCAAGCUUGAAAAGAAUCCUAAGACUUCAAGACUAACAAAGAGAUGUGAAGCCAAAACUCUCCUGAACUUUAAUAACAAAAACAAGGUGUGAUAAUUGUGCAAGUGAGAUGAACUAUUUUUCUAUUCCCUCUACAGGAAGAUAUUAUUGCAGAAUCAUUAUUUUUGCUGUUGUUUGUUUUAUUUUUUAUUUUUAUUUUUAGAGACAGGGCCCCCCUCCCCCAGGCUGGAGUACACGAUCAUAGCUCACUAUGGCCUCGAACUCAUGGGCUGCAGUGACCCUCCAACCUCAGCCUCCCCAGUAGCUAGGACUAUAGGGCAGGCAGAAUCAUUCUUCUGUGAAGAGAGAUAUAUACAGCCCAAAAAAUGCAGAGAAAGGAUGUUUAGAGGUACCUCGGGCAAUUUCUAAGCAAAAAUAUUGCAUUAUUCUUUUGAGUUUUAUGAUAUUCGUAGUAUUGGUCAGUUUCUGAAACUUCAUAAUUUGUUCCAAAUAAAUUUCUUGUUCUAAAUAAAUAUUCA